rnacentral:lncRNA from 1 species
GCAAUCUCUCUCCCCCACUGCAAAGCCCUGUAGCAAUGAUCCUUUGUUCCAUGCUUUAACAAGUAUCAUUGAAUAAUGUUUUCUUUAACUUAAGUUCAGAGUUAUCAAAUGAGUUAUGUUCCGAGUUGUCAGAUGGUCUUGAACCAGAGAAAAAGAGAAGAGCUUUUUCUCCCUGAGAAACAUCGAUUUGGAAUCACAACUAGAAUUCCACCUCUGGUACAUAACAACGUGAGUCACAAUGAAAAGUCAUAGUUGGAGAUUCCUCAUCCGGACUGUAGAAAAGGUCAUGUCCCUAACUCCAGAAUGCCAAUGAUAAAGGCACACGUACAGGCAUGUUAGAAAGAUGGAGAAGUCAGAGGAAGAUGUGCACAAAGUUAAAUCGCUCUGCCCUUUCUACUAUCAGAUCAUCACCAAACACUCGUGGGAUCACACUGAGAAGGAUCAUCCAAGUCAAGAGCUGCAGAAGAAAUGGUGCACAUAUUCAAGAGUCUCACCUUUAGCCUUUCCUCUACAGCAGAAUCACUAUGCUACAUUAAUUUCCUUCUCAUCUGAUGACUUCUUGAGAGCUUUUUAGUUUCUGCAUCUCCUAUUUCUAGCCAAUGCAAUAAACCAGCUGGCAGAUUAUCCCCUUCACAUCCAAUGACCAAAUCAUCACAUCUCUCCAAGAGGUUCAGAGGUGGGUGUUUUUAUACAGAACCUGUCACCAUGGCAGCUUGACUCUCUUCAGUUUCUGAAUUAGGAACAGUGACCUACUUAUAUUUCUACUACACCCAUAAUGGAAACAGGUUAGUAAUAUCUUCCAGGACUUGACAUUACGGAGCUUCCAGGUGGCAAUGCAGAUAAAGGCAAAGAAUACACAGAGUCCAGGGGGCUCACUGGGAAGCGAAGUCCAUGGUCUGAACACACACCCCCGAUCACCUUUGCUCUAUGCCACGACGAAGUCAUCAGGCUUCCCCACCUCCAGUCCCCAAAAUACACUCAAACUACUCAGAUGAUGGAGGAGCACAACCCAUUGCCUCCUUCACUUACUAGAAGGCAGAAAAUGCAGAAGAAAAACCAUGUUGCCUUUUACAGAUAUGACUUAAUCUGCAGUUGGGAAAGAGAUUAGGUAUAACUUUGGCUUUGUCUACUCAUCCCACUUAUACAACAAACCAUGCCAGUUUUAGACAUUUGUUCAGUGCAACUGGCUUUCGGAAAUGCCAGAAAAUUGAUUCUUCCCUACCCCCGCCAAAGCAUAUUGACUUAUCCUUUGGCAAUUUAACUCCUAAAUCAUUAUCCUCGACUAUGACUAAAAUAUCACAUAAGGUGAUUCAGGAACCAAAGCUAUAACCUCCUAUAUUUGCCUUCCAUCCCCAGGGCCCCCUGGAAGGUUCUAAGUCUGAGUUUGUGUGCCUCACUCACUUGCUUGCCUUUUGUUACGGCGACCCAUUCAACUGCAUUUAUAUACACAUAGGAUGAAUAUUCUGAACGUGCAGUAAUUCAUGCUUGGGGAAAAUUAUUCAAUUAUGGGUCAGUCAUUUCACAAAUAUAGAGGCUAAGCCCUGUUACACCGUAAUCAGGUGUACAUAUUAUCCAAGGAUCUCAUAAACUUCCAAGAGGCUGGAGAUCUGUUUAUUUAAUAGUUCACAAAGCAGUUAUAAUCUCUUCCCUCAGUUUUGCUAAGGGAUCCAGACUUUCUAACUUUCCAUAUAAAGGGACUUGCCAUAUGCCGGGCAUUUGGCGCUACCCACUUGUUUCUUUCUCAAAGGGUUAGAUUCUUUGGGACAGUAUAGUAGACACUAUAUUGCUCCACCCAGACGUCCUUUUUAGGGCCAAUACACCCAUCCCCAGCUGCUGAUGGUUCACAAGGAAGGUCCUCAGCCAGCUGCAGGACACAGCCUCACCCAAAGUGAUACCCCCAGAAGGGGUGGCCAGUUGCCAGGAAUUAGCUGAUGUAGGCAAACAAAAGUCCAGCCCCUUGCUCAAAUGGGGACAGCUCUGAAGAACCAUCCAGCGCUCCCCAUAGAAGUGGCUGGGGUCUCAGACGCAACCACAUUUGCCAGUCAGCUUCUCCUCUGCCCAAUCUUGCCUUGUUCCUUCCUUACAGGUGUCUCCUGAGAGCUCACCCCCAAAAUCCUUCAGCACCCCACUCCUGGUCUCAGAGUCUGCUUCUAGGGAACCUAAUUUAAGACCAGCAGCAGUUUUCUAAGAUAACUAAUGCAGAGCAUUAUUUUUCUAAUUGUACGAGGAAGUCACAGGCUCCUUCAGAGGCCCUACAAAGGCUGAUAACCGUCUUUGAAAAAUACUCGUCAUACAGCCACUCAGUUUAAAAACUACACAUUUUUGAUAUUCAGCUCAGAUCACUUUCUGAACACCAACCCAGUCAACAGGGACAGGAGUUAAUGCACAGGAAUACAGCAAGUUCACAAGUAAAGGCGGCGAGACCUAGCAAAGGUAGUGAUUUGCUUGUCCCAACAUCAUGUGGCAUUGAAAACUGCCACCAGAGCAAAGGAGGCCACAUCUGGGGUUCCCAACCUUAACCAUCAGAGUAUGGCUGCCCACAAAAGACAUAUUUACUUUAUAACCUCAAAUCCUAGCAAAUCUUCAUUCUAAAGCUACCCGGCAAGAACAGUUCCACCUAAGUAUGAAACUGAGAUCCUGUCUCAAAAAACAAAACAAAACAAAACAAACAACAACAACAACAAAAACAACAUUGUAUAAUAAAAAGAUGAAGAGUAAAUUCAUGCUAAAAACUUC